ACGAAUUGGGAUAAUCAUAAGGUGCUGCUAAGUAUUACCCAUCAGCCUCUAGAUGUUCUCUUUUUAGGUUAUCACCCUAACUCAAAAGUCAAUGAUACUCUGUCUUACACAACUGUGGAACCUAUUCAUAAGGCACAACAAGAUUUUUAAAAACAUUUGUACUUAGGGACUUUCCAAUGGGACAGGCAAAAGAAUUAUACGUUAUGUAUAUUCUCCAUACUGUCAAGGCUCAGAUUUGUUUCCAGUGUCAUAAAUCAUCAUAAUUAACAACCUUUCAACCAAAUGGAUCCCAAAGCACUUUCCAAAUUAUGCAACUUUGGAGGUGAAUUGCCUCAGCUGUCCAACAGCUGUCAGCAGCACUCUGCAACAGGGACUGAGCAAGAGGGAGGACGCAGAUUCUCCACGGAACUCUUCGCAGCAUUUAGUGCAGGCCCAGAUGAUUCAUGGUAAACUUUCCAGGAUAUUCUCUUAAUUCUGUGUUGUCCAACUAAGGAGUACAGGGGAUCUGCAAAGUUGUAAAAUCAAGGUGGUAAAGAUUCUUGGAGCUUCUAAUAUAUUCAAAAGUUUGAGCUAUGUGUCAGUCCCUGGGGAUCAAGUGAAGGAGGUACAGCUUCUUCAGUCACAGACUGUCUUGUCAUGUGGAUACAGGAAAGACCUAACAAGAAAAAGGCAUAGCCAAAAUGCAAAACCACCUACCUACACAGAGAACAACAGCAUAGUCUGAUCUGUUUCCACCAGCCAGCAAAAGUGAACCUGAAGUGAAUGACCCAUGAUUCAGGGCUGUGGUGUCUCCAUCUCUGCCUGCUGGACCACCCCUACCCCCACCCUCCAGAGCCUUGUAUGCACUGGCCAAAGAAUUGCCUCAGAAGGUUCUCCGAAGUGAACCUCUGGGAGUUGAGAGAAAGAGAUAAAUAACUUCUCAACCUGAUGUUUAAGCAACAAGAAACCACCAGAAAGUGUCGGCCUCAAUUCUGAAAAUAUUUUUUGAAACAUCAUAGAUUCAUGGGAGAAUGACAGAAUGACAUGAGAAUGACAGGAUUCUUAGUUCCUAACUUUUCUGUAAAAUCCCAGAUUUUCUUCUGUCUAUCGUCUAUGACCCAUUUUCUUUUGUGUGAUGAGAGCAAAAUAUUGAACCCUGAGUUUGUAUUUUCUGACCCCUGACCUCUCCCAGGUGUUCUGGCUCAUUUCCUGAGAGUUAUGUUUGAUUUGGGAAUGCUUCCCUCUUUUCUCCCAUUCCCCUGUUACCGCUUGAAACCUGGAACACCCGCAAACAAGACCCUGACUAUCUCCCUGUACUACCCAAAAACACUCUUAAGUGUUCUCUCAGAACUUGGCAAGCAUCUAUACAGGGACAGUUUUCUCACACUCUGGGAAAUCAAAAUAUAAAACAAUAGCUCUUUUCCAAUUCUUCAACCUGAAGAUAGAUUUUAGGGUCAUUUCUUUUUCCUUCCUAUUUAACAUGAGUUUCCGUUUUAGUACUAAGAGGAAAUCAAAUAAAUAAUCGACUUUGGUUUUCAAUGUAACAAGGAAAUAGAAAUUCUAAUUUGAUCCAAAAGUUAUUCCAAGAUCAUCUCCUCAGAAGUUGCAGUUAACAUUUUCCUAAAAAAUCUCUCCCUUUCCUUUUCUUUUUCAGAUUUCAGAAUAAAAGGCUGGAAAAUAUUACUUAUGAAGUUAAGCAUUAUUUUUGCUUUAAAUUGAAGCUGAAACCCUGCUUGACACCGCUACUCUGCUAAUCCUGGUUGUCUUUUAAAAAGAAAAUGCUUAGGAUACCUAAACAAUCUUGAUAAAAAGAUUUCUACAUCUUUUAAUUAAAUGAGAGGCCAAUCUACUAAGCUAACAAAAAGAACUACAUUCAGGAAUGCAACAGAUUCUGCCUACUCCAUUUGGCAUGAUUCCUUAAAAAUAAAUAACUACUUCAUGAGUUGUGCAAGUAAAAAUAAGAUAUUGUGUGCACUAAAAACAUUUCCUCAAGGAGCAUCCAGGCUGGGCUCAUGAAGCCCACUUGUCACCAGCAUCAAGCCGCCCAUCCAGGCACCAUCCAGGAGGGUGAGUCUUCUCUUCCUAGUCUAGGGCGGAGGGUCAUUCAUGCACUGGACUGGAGUUAAGAGGCUUGAACCUGAGCUGACAAUGAACAGGACUGGGAGAGGCUCAACUAUCCUGGGUUCAGAUGACAGUUUGUAGGUAUCAGAAUAAGUACAGGGGCAGCUGGUGCACAGACCCUGGAAAAUUCACUGACACACGGUGAAUAUAUAAAUAUCAUGUCUCAUUCUCUGUGGUGUAAAACCACACAAAUGCAACUUAGGCUUUAUAAAAUGCCCAGAUUACUAAGUAGCCAAAGAAAUAUAAGAAAAAAAUCUGUGAAUUGAUUCUGUGUGAAACCUGGCUCAUGAUAGUAAAACAGGCUUAGUGUGUUUGUGUUUUAUUUUUCCAAAUACAUAAUUUGAAAAUACACAUGGCUGUGCCCAUUUUUAAAUGACAUUUAUUCAAUCAUUCAUUCACCAAGUGUUUAUUGAGCACCUACUUUGUGUUCAACACUCUUGUAGGCACUGUGUAAUAUAUAUACAUAUAUAUAUCAAUGAAGGAAGGCCCCUUGCCUUUAGGAAGCCUACACUCCAAUGGAAGUGGGCAAAAACAGUUAACGUGUACACAAAUAAAUAACUUUGAUAAGGUCAGAAGACUAAAACAAAGCCAAAUAAGGUAAUGAAAAAAAAAAAAAAGAGAGACACACGGGAGGCCACUGGAGAUGGGGCAGCCAAAGAAGUUUCUCUGAGGAGAUGACAGCUGAGCUGAGGUAUGAAGGUCGAGAAGAAGCCAGUCACUCCAGGAAAAAGGGAUUCCAAGAACACAGGUCCUGAGACAGGAGAGAUUCUAAAUUCCCACCUUUUUCAUGAAAUCUUCCCUUUUUCAAUGAAGACGACACAAUGAAGACUACCUAUUAUUCACUUUAUAGACAUUUCAGUUUGGCUAUAGAACUAUUGAGGUAAUUAUUUUGAUUAUUACCAAAUACUCACUUCUUCAACAACAUUCACUGGGCACCUCCUGAAGGCCAGGCAUGGUGCUAGCUCUGGAGGAUACCGAAUAAUGUCAGCACACAGCCCCAAAACGACGUGUGGCACGAGGCCAGCAGGAACACAGACACUAAACCAAGGCUCUUCUGCCCAGAAGGAUGCUCUACUUGCAAACACCUUGCUGAGGAAGGAUUUGAAUGUAGUGCUUACAUAACACGUAAGUCUUGUAGCUUAGAAACUUGAAACUGCUUGACUGCAUAGUAAACACUUCCCCCUCCCAUACUUGUACCCUCACUCAGGUUUCUUCACUAACCUGUAGACUCCAUUUGUCUUUGUAUUCCCCCCAUUUUUGCUAAACCAGGA
rnacentral:lncRNA from 10 species